rnacentral:misc_RNA from 1 species
AUCAUAGAUACAGCUGAUCUUACCAAAAUUUUCUGCUUUGCACGACAAUACCUUAACUCCAGAACCUCAGCUCCUACUAAAUGACUCCAGGAAAAAAUUCAAAGAAUAUCCUAAGGUUCUAAUUAGUGGAACUUAUAUCCUUUCACUGAGAUCUUCUUCUUAUGUGUUGAGAAACUUGGUACCCCUCGAAGAAAUCCAAGACAGCAGUCUCAAUGUCCUCACCGGAAUACUUGAUAUAGUUUUCCGGAUGCCUCCCACUCUCAAUAUGACUCCUGAACCUUCCGAGAAAUGAUCUAUAAGCUGGGAUCAACUUCUCAGAUACAGAAAUACGCAGCUCCUCCCGGAGCUGGGUAUCCGGUAUCAACCAGGUGGACUGAGUCCUAUGUACCUCUUCAAACAUAGCAUUGAA